rnacentral:rRNA from 1 species
AAUACGUUCCCGGGCCUUGUACACACCGCCCGUCAAGUCACGAAAGUCGGUAACACCCGAAGCCGGUGGCCUAACCCUUAGGGGGAGGAGCCGUCGAAAGGUGGGACUGGCGAUUGGGACU